CUGGUUUGUUGAUGGAGGCACAAAAUCUGCAGAGUUCUUUAUGAGGCCUCACAGACGAGGAGCUGUUACAGACUGAAUCUGGUGGAAAGUCUUUUCAGAGCUGAGACACCCACCCAACACUGAACCAUUCAUUGGAGGAGGGGAGAGGAGCAGAUGUGUGCAGACUAUGACAGACAGACUUGGAGAGCUUCUGAGAGUCAUAAGCCUCUGAAACUAGUGAGGGCAUCCCUCCAUCCUUUGCUUCAUUUCAGGCUGACCGCAGUGAGGCCUGGUGCAAAGCUUGAUCCUGAGCAUGUCCUGAGCAGCUGUGUAGAUCUGCUGAUAGAGUGACAAAGGGUUUUUUACAUUAAUUUCAGAAGGAUCUCACUGACAAAGAGAGAAGUGAUGGGAGCAGAAAGAAAG